AAUCCAAUUUAUUCCUCCUGAAGGAAAUCACAAUUUGUCCUCGUUGCUAAACUUGGGUUCCUACCACCUCGACGGCACGACCCAUUCUCCCCUUUGUCGCCGCUCGGCAUGGGGCUCGCUGCGCUACCGUUUCUCGUCUCCCUGCUCUUCUUCGCCUCCGUUGAGGGCGACGUCUUCCUCGGUCUCCCGUUGGGCGAAUGGUAGCCUCCGCCAUGUCUCGACGUUCGGAUGCAGACCCUUAGAGGACUUGCUUUCCACCAGAAAAGAAGUCUCCCCUGUUUUGAGGGUUAUUUUGAAGUCAGUUGCUUGCUUUUAAUUUGCAAGAGCGGAAAUAAUUUGGCUAACUUCAUGGAUUAAGUAUAUAUUCUGCAUUGGAGUUAAGGGCAAUGCACCGAAGCUCCCCGUUGAUACGGUUCUGAGAUGGUGGUCCUGUUGCUCUGAUCCUUUAAGAAGCCAUUAUGCGGGAAUUAUUCAGCUGUUCGUAGAUUUGUGAAAGCCAGAGAUUGGAGAUUCGAUUGAGUGGAUCAUGUCAUAUUUUGGUGUGAUGAUUGUUUACGAAGCCAACGGAUGCUGAUUCUUAUCAAGCUUAUUGCAAUAAGGUGGCUCUUUAAAUUGCAUCUUGGAUCUAAUGUGCUAACCAUUGUUAUGGGGCAUUCUUUGAUUCUCAAUCUUCGCUAUGUUGGCUUCUCAACUACAAGGUGUUACAUGUUGUGCACUUUAGAUGAAUAUUACAAUCUUGAUGUUGACCGUGCUGGUGUCGAUUAAACAUGCAAAUGUUUGCAUUGGCAAUUGUUGUAAAGAAGAAUCCAUGUUUAAAUUAUGUUUAUAAUGAGAAUUGGAAUGCCAUUUAUUUAAAUGUGCUUAUAAGA